AGCAGCCGCGGUAAUUCCAGCUCCAAUAGCGUAUAUUAAAGUUGUUGCAGUUAAAAAGCUCGUAGUUGAAUUUCGGGAUCAAUACGUCGGUCGUGCUUCGGUACGUACUGGCGUCAUUGGUUUCUCCCUUCUGACGAACCAUGAUGUCAUUAACUUGGUGUCAUGGGAAAUCAGGACUGUUACUUUGAAAAAAUUAGAGUGUUUAAAGCAGGCUCACGCUUGAAUACAUUAGCAUGGAAUAAUGAAAUAGGACGUUCGAUCCUAUUUUGUUGGUUUCUAGGAUCAACGUAAUGAUUAAUAGGGAUAGUUGGGGGCAUUAGUAUUCAAUUGUCAGAGGUGAAAUUCUUGGAUUUAUUGAAGACUAACUACUGCGAAAGCAUUUGCCAAGGAUGUUUUCAUUAAUCAAGAACGAAAGUUAGGGGAUCGAAGACGAUCAGAUACCGUCGUAGUCUUAACCAUAAACUAUGCCGACUAGGGAUCGGAUGAUGUUAAUUAUUUAAUGACUCAUUCGGCGCCUUACG
rnacentral:rRNA from 1 species